ACAUGAAAUAAUCAAUUUCGACUUGAUUCACCUAAAUUUAAAUUUACAUGUU
rnacentral:tRNA from 1 species